ACACAGAUGAAGGACAUCAGAAAUCCACACCAUCUCCCACCCUACGAGGAGCAAUAUUUCAGCAUUCAGGAAAGAGAUGAGCAGAGAAGAGACAAAAAGGGAGGGACAAAAAGAACAGGACAACACCAGUAUUAGACAGCCGGAGACCUGAAGCAAAACAGCAGACUAAAACAGGAAACGCUUCCUUCCAACAUCUGAAGAGAAAGCUACAAUAACGGGCAUCCCCAGCAGUAAUAAUGGGGAUCCCACCUUGCUCUGUGCUCCUGGAUACCUCCUGUGGGGUCACUACCAAAAG